UAUGAUUACAAAAUACAAUAGUGAAGCUGGCAGCAUGGAUAUGCCAAAGAGUAGAUAUAAAGUGCUUCCUUUAAGUGAAAAGGUGAACAUU